rnacentral:rRNA from 1 species
GNNCGGCGCUGCUACCAUGCAGUCGACGGUGAACACGGAGCUUGCUCUGUGGGAUCAGUGGCGAACGGGUGAGUAACACGUGAGCAACCUGCCCCUGACUCUGGGAUAAGCGCUGGAAACGGCGUCUAAUACUGGAUACGAGUAGCGACCGCAUGGUCAGUUACUGGAAAGAUUUAUUGGUUGGGGAUGGGCUCGCGGCCUAUCAGCUUGUUGGUGAGGUAAUGGCUCACCAAGGCGUCGACGGGUAGCCGGCCUGAGAGGGUGACCGGCCACACUGGGACUGAGACACGGCCCAGACUCCUACGGGAGGCAGCAGUGGGGAAUAUUGCACAAUGGGCGCAAGCCUGAUGCAGCAACGCCGCGUGAGGGAUGACGGCCUUCGGGUUGUAAACCUCUUUUAGCAGGGAAGAAGCGAAAGUGACGGUACCUGCAGAAAAAGCGCCGGCUAACUACGUGCCAGCAGCCGCGGUAAUACGUAGGGCGCAAGCGUUAUCCGGAAUUAUUGGGCGUAAAGAGCUCGUAGGCGGUUUGUCGCGUCUGCUGUGAAAUCCGGAGGCUCAACCUCCGGCCUGCAGUGGGUACGGGCAGACUAGAGUGCGGUAGGGGAGAUUGGAAUUCCUGGUGUAGCGGUGGAAUGCGCAGAUAUCAGGAGGAACACCGAUGGCGAAGGCAGAUCUCUGGGCCGUAACUGACGCUGAGGAGCGAAAGGGUGGGGAGCAAACAGGCUUAGAUACCCUGGUAGUCCACCCCGUAAACGUUGGGAACUAGUUGUGGGGUCCAUUCCACGGAUUCCGUGACGCAGCUAACGCAUUAAGUUCCCCGCCUGGGGGAGUACGGCCGCAAGGCUAAAACUCAAAGGAAUUGACGGGGACCCGCACAAGCGGCGGAGCAUGCGGAUUAAUUCGAUGCAACGCGAAGAACCUUACCAAGGCUUGACAUAUACGAGAACGGGCCAGAAAUGGUCAACUCUUUGGACACUCGUAAACAGGUGGUUGCAUGGGUUGUCGUCAGCUCGUGUCGUGAGAUGUUGGGUUAAGUCCCGCAACGAGCGCAACCCUCGUUCUAUGUUGCCAGCACGUAAUGGUGGGAACUCAUGGGAUACUGCCGGGGUCAACUCGGAGAAGGUGGGGGAUGACGUCAAAUCAUCAUGCCCCUAUGUCUGGGCUUCACGCAUGCUACCAUGNCGNACAAANGNNUGCCAAUACCCGCNAGNGANNGGAAUUCCCAANG